rnacentral:rRNA from 1 species
GAUGAACGCUGGCGGCGUGCCUAAUACAUGCAAGUCGAGCGAACAGACGAGGAGCUUGCUCCUCUGACGUUAGCGGCGGACGGGUGAGUAACACGUGGAUAACCUACCUAUAAGACUGGGAUAACUUCGGGAAACCGGAGCUAAUACCGGAUAAUAUAUUGAACCGCAUGGUUCAAUAGUGAAAGACGGUUUUGCUGUCACUAAUAGAUGGAUCCGCGCCGCAUUAGCUAGUUGGUAAGGUAACGGCUUACCAAGGCAACGAUGCGUAGCCGACCUGAGAGGGUGAUCGGCCACACUGGAACUGAGACACGGUCCAGACUCCUACGGGAGGCAGCAGUAGGGAAUCUUCCGCAAUGGGCGAAAGCUUGACGGAGCAACGCCGCGUGUGUGAUGAAGGUCUUCGGAUCGUAAAACUCUGUUAUUAGGGAAGAACAACUGUGUAAGUAACCAUGCACGUCUUGACGGUACCUAAUCAGAAAGCAACGGCUAACUACGUG